AUAAAAACUGUGAUUAGGAAAAGUAAUUAAGAUUUCUACUUUAAGAGAGUAACUGGUUGGUGUGAAGUUAUAUAGUGUCUUAGUGAAAAUCACCUAGGAGUUGGAAAUUGAACAGCCUUGCUUAGUAGGUAUUCCCGUUAGCCAGCGUUAAUGGAUAGAGCAUGAUUGUGCUUGAAAUAAGUACCCUAAAUUUAUUAUAAGGGUAUACUUUGCCAUAGGUGGUAUAGCGAAUUCAACUUCGUCCUUUUG
rnacentral:ncRNA from 1 species